CAGUCGCCACGGGAAUACGAAGGGUGCAAGCGUUACUCGGAAUUACUGGGCGUAAAGCGUGCGUAGGCGGUUGGUUAAGUCUGCUGUGAAAGCCCUGGGCUCAACCUGGGAACUGCAGUGGAAACUGGCCAGCUAGAGUGUGUCAGAGGAUGGUGGAAUUCCCGGUGUAGCGGUGAAAUGCGUAGAGAUCGGGAGGAACACCAGUGGCGAAGGCGGCCAUCUGGGACAACACUGACGCUGAGGCACGAAAGCGUGGGGAGCAAACAGGAUUAGAUACCCCAGUAGUCCCUGUCUCUUAUAC
rnacentral:rRNA from 1 species